UACGGGGGGAGCAAGCGUUGUUCGGAUUUACUGGGCGUAAAGGGCGCGUAGGCGGCCACCGCAAGUCAAUUGUGAAAUCUCCGGGCUUAACUCGGAAAGGUCAACUGAUACUGCGGGGCUAGAGUGCAGAAGGGGCAACUGGAAUUCUCGGUGUAACGGUGAAAUGCGUAGAUAUCGAGAGGAACACCUGCGGCGAAGGCGGGUUGCUGGGCUGACACUGACGCUGAGGCGCGAAAGCUAGGGGAGCGAACGGG
rnacentral:rRNA from 1 species